rnacentral:rRNA from 1 species
GCCCCAGAUAGUAUCUGAGGUGUAACCUGCCCAAUGGUUUUAAAAUAAAAAUUAAUAAAAUUGAUUUAAUAAAACUUAAAGGACGCAGUAACCUUGACUGUGAUAAUGUAGCAUAAUCACUCGCCAUUUAAUUGAUGGAUAGUAUGAAUGGUUGAACGAAUAUUCCACUGUCUUAAGAAGAGAUACCAAGAAAUUGAAAUAGUAGUUAAGAUGCUAUUUAAAAUUGUAAGACGAAAAGACCCUAUAGAGCUUAACUAUAACCUUUUUUUAGAACAGAAAAUCAAUUCAAAAUUAAAAAGGUUGGUAGUUUAGUUGGGGCGACUAUCUUCUAAAAAUAACGAAGAGAAGCAAAGUUAAUAUAGGACUUAUUGUAUAAUUUAUAAAUUUAACAAUUACAAAAGUAGGCUAUUAUGACCCGUUAUGUAAUCAUAAUAAUCAUAACGAUCAAUAAAUAAAAGCUACCUUAGGGAUAACAGGAUAAUUUUAUUUUAGAGAUCCUAUCGAAAAUAAAGUUUGUCACCUCUAUGUUGAAUUAAGAUAUCCUGACAAUGCAGAAGUUGUCAAAGGUAGGUCUGUUCGACCUUUAAAAUCUU